rnacentral:rRNA from 1 species
CGCUGGCGGCACGCCUAACACAUGCAAGUCGAACGAAGUAGCAAUACUUAGUGGCAGACGGGUGAGUAACAUGUAGGUAUCUGCCCUUUGGCCUGGAAUAACACGAGGAAACUUGUGCUAAUACCGGAUAAGUCUUUACGGAGAAAGCUUUAUGCACCAUUGGAUGAGCCUGCACUUGAUUAGUUUGUUGGUGGGGUAAUGGCCUACCAAGACUGUGAUCAAUAGCUGAUUUGAGAGGAUGAUCAGCCACAUUGGGACUGAGACACGGCCCAAACUCCUACGGGAGGCAGCAGUGGGGAAUCUUGCACAAUGGAGGAAACUCUGAUGCAGCGAUGCCGCGUGAGUGAAGAAGGCCUUUGGGUUGUAAAGCUCUUUCGUCGGGGAAGAAAAUGACUGUACCCGAAUAAGAAGGUCCGGCUAACUUCGUGCCAGCAGCCGCGGUAAUACGAAGGGACCUAGCGUAGUUCGGAAUUACUGGGCUUAAAGAGUUCGUAGGUGGUUGAAAAAGUUGGUGGUGAAAUCCCAGAGCUUAACUCUGGAACUGCCAUCAAAACUUUUCAGCUAGAGUAUGAUAGAGGAAAGCAGAAUUUCUAGUGUAGAGGUGAAAUUCGUAGAUAUUAGAAAGAAUACCGAUUGCGAAGGCAGCUUUCUGGAUCAUUACUGACACUGAGGAACGAAAGCAUGGGUAGCGAAGAGGAUUAGAUACCCUCGUAGUCCAUGCCGUAAACGAUGUGUGUUAGACGUUGGAAAUUUAUUUUCAGUGUCGCAGGGAAACCGAUAAACACACCGCCUGGGGAGUACGACCG